rnacentral:rRNA from 1 species
ACCUGGUUGAUCCUGCCAGUAGUCAUAUGCUUGUCUUAAAGAUUAAGCCAUGCAUGUCUCAGUAUAAGCUUUUUUACUGCAAAACUGCGAAUGGCUCAUUAAAACAGUUAUAGUUUCCUUGACAGCCAAUUAUUACUUGGAUACCUAUGGUAAUUCUAGAGCUAAUACAUGCUUAAAGACCCAACUUCUCGGAAGGGUUGUGCUUAUUAGAUACUGAACCAACCCGGGUUCUCCCGGUUUUGAGUUGAUUCAUAGUAUUCCAGCGAAUCGUCCUCGUUAGACGAUGAGUCUUUCAAGUUUCUGACCUAUCAGCUUCCGACGGUAGGGUAUUGGCCUACCGUGGCAUUGACGGGUAACGGAGAAUUAGGGUUCGGUUCCGGAGAGGGAGCCUGAGAAACGGCUACCACAUCUAAGGAAGGCAGCAGGCGCGUAAAUUACCCAAUCCUGACACAGGGAGGUAGUGACAAGAAAUACCAAUAUAAGGCUUAUAUGUCUUGUAAUUGGGAUGAGUAUAAUUUAAACCGCAUUACGAGUAUCAAUUGGAGGGCAAGUCUGGUGCCAGCAGCCGCGGUAAUUCCAGCUCCAAUAGCGUAUAUUAAAAUUGUUGCGGUUAAAACGCUCGUAGUUGGAUAUUUGUCAAGGACUGCCGGUCUACCCUAGUGGUCAGCACUCGGUAUUAUUUGGCAUUUUCCUGGAGACAGUGUUCGUACUUUAUUGUAUGGCACAUGAACCAGAACUUUUACUUUGAGGAAAUGAGAGUGUUUCAAGCAGGCGUACGUCGUGAAUACGUUAGCAUGGAAUAAUAGCAUAGGACCCCGGUCUGAAGCUGUUGGUUUUUGGGCCGAGGUAAUGAAAAUAGGGAUAGUUGGGGGCAUUCGUAUUUAACUGUCAGAGGUGAAAUUCUUGGAUUUUUUAAAGACGGACUACUGCGAAAGCAUCUGCCCAGGAUGUUUUUAUUAAUCAAGAACGAAAGUUAGGGGAUCGAAGACGAUCAGAUACCGUCCUAGUCUUAACCUUAAACAAUGCCGACUAGAGAUUGGGGUCGUCAGCACUUUGACGCCUUCAGCAACUUGAGAGAAAUCAAAGUCUUUGGGUUCCGGGGGGAGUAUGGUCGCAAGGCUGAAACUUAAA